UGAACACUAGCGGCAGGCCUAAUACAUGCAAGUGGAAGGCCCAGCAAUGGGAGUGGCGCACGGGUGCGUAACGCGUAUGUAACCUACCUUAUUGAGGGGGAUAGCCCGGAGAAAUUCGGAUUAAUACCGCAUAAUAUGGGAAACUGGCAUCGGUUUUUCAUGAAAGAUUUAUCGCAAUAAGAUGGACAUGCGUCUGAUUAGUUAGUUGGUGAGGUAACGGCUCACCAAGACGAUGAUCAGUAGGGGUUCUGAGAGGAAGGUCCCCCACACUGGCACUGAGAUACGGGCCAGACUCCUACGGGAGGCAGCAGUAGGGAAUAUUGGGCAAUGGAGGGAACUCUGACCCAGCCAUGCCGCGUGCAGGACGAAGGAGCUAUGCUCUGUAAACUGCUUUAGCAGGGGAAGAAAAGGCGUCUGCGGACGAGAUUGACGGUACCCUGAGAAUAAGCACCGGCUAACUACGUGCCAGCAGCCGCGGUAAUACGUAGGGUGCGAGCGUUGUCCGGAUUUAUUGGGUUUAAAGGGUGCGUAGGCGGCUUUAUAAGUCAGUGUUUAAAGCACAUAGCUCAACUAUGGAACUGGCAUUGAUACUGUAGAGCUUGAGUAGAAACGGGGCAGGCGGAAUUUAUGGUGUAGCGGUGAAAUGCAUAGAUACCAUAAAGAACACCGAUAGCGAAGGCAGCUUGCCAGGAUCUAACUGACGCUGAGGCACGAAAGCGUGGGGAUCAAACAGGAUUAGAUACCCUGGUAGUCCACGCCGUAAACGAUGAUUACUGGUUGUUGGCGAUAGAUAGUCAGCGACUGAGCGAAAGCAUUAAGUAAUCCACCUGGGGAGUACGCCCGCAAGGGUGAA
rnacentral:rRNA from 1 species